UCUCAUGUUCUUAGGGUUUCAAAUUUCGUUGUCCACAAGCUGGCUAAUAUUCUUAGUGGUGGGAUGUUGCCACCGAUUUUUGUAGCUGGGCUAAUCUUCUGAACGCAUGAUCUGUAAUUCUCUUUCAGAAGACCCAAAAAAAAAGGUCUUGGCACGUCGACUUCCGGCCGCGGUAUGGCCGGCGACGAGGAAGCGAAGCCGGAGACGCGUUGGUUUCGACGGUGCUCUCCCCAGGUGCAGCUCGACAAGCUCAGGGUAUUCCCUAACUCUGUUGCUCCUUGCGUCGUGUUAAUUUCUCUAAUUCGUGCCAAGAAUCAUCCCAUGACAUCUCCUCGUGAAGACUUGUGUGAAAUUGGAAGGAUCUACUUGCUAGGCGGAUCUCAAGAUAGCCCUAUGUUUUUAGUUCCGUCAAGACUUCAAUUUUGUUCUCUGAUUAGCACAUGUAGUAGGAAUUGCACAAGUAGCGUUUGCAACUCAAAGCACAGGCAAAGGAGAGAACAAAAUUGAAAGGGAGCACACAGAUGAGUGUAAAGACAUGUGAGGAGACACCUGAUGUGGAGAAUACAGAUACUUCGGUCACUACUGUUGGAGGCAGUUCAAGUUCUCCGACAUCAAAAGAAAAAAAGAAAAAGGCUUGCUUGACAUGUUCUCCUAUAAUUUUAGAAUUUCGGAUUAACUCUUUCCUUCUCUUGCAUUACACAUUCCACCUUCUACAAAGCACAUUAUAGUGUAGGGUAUUGCUGUUUCACUUGUUAUUGCUGUUUACUUGCAUUUGUAUGUGGCCCAAUGCCCAUAAGUUUUCAUUCCUUAUUUGAGAUGUAGGGUAUUUCUCCAGUUGUCUUGUUUUAUGUAUUAAAGAUUCCUAAUUUUUUUUACAAAUCUGUAAUUAGACAUAUCUUUUUUUUUGUCUAAAUGUAAAAUAUAUUGUAAAACAGUUUAGAAGAAAUCAUAUCUGGCAUCUCCCUUUUUAACAAUGUUAUGAAAACGUUGUUCCUCAUAGAAAUUUACAAUAUGAUUCAAACUGCCAACUAUAAAUUCGACACCUUAUCCUGUGGUAAUUCUUUUGCGAGUCAUAAUGUUCUUUUUACACCUUUUAUGAGGUUAAGCCUUGGUGCCAUUAGGUUGAGCCAGAGUUUAAGUCAAAAGAAAUAACACUUUACCUUGUUGGGUAAGAUUGCAUAUGUUGAGCCUCAAAUGACAUAUUGAUGGAAGCCAUAUAUAGUGGAUGAUUCUACUUUUAGUAUUUCUUAUAUGAUUUUUAGUUAAUUUUUGGUAACCUUUGACCAGUCAUGGUUUUCUCUAUGACAUGACAAAAGCAUGAUGUGGUAUAUGUUUUUCCCCCUUUCAAAAUUUUAACUAAAAGGUAACCUUUUUAUCUGUAACUUUCAUAGAAUCCUAAAAGAAUUCUACUCUUUCUUUCUCAUGCCCGAGAAAGAAAAAGUUGUCCUCUAUCAUCGAUCCUUGUAGCACUAUAAUAAUCAUCGUGUGCUUUAUACUACCUCAAUAAUAUAUUUUUAAUCUCUUCUCUAAUUAAAUUAUGCCACUCAAUGUAUUAUUUUCGUAUACUAUAUGACAUAUUAUUUUUGCAUUUAUAUCUUACUCAUGUGAUAAAAAGUUCUCUUUCCUUAAAGAUUAAUAGGUACUUAGAGUCUCUUGAAGUACUUCUUUCCAAGUUGUCAUUUUGAGUACCAGAAUCGUUUCGGUGAUCUAGUUGGACCGACAUUGUAACACUCCAAUUAGUCCUACAUUGAAAGUGGGCAAGAUUAAGAUUACUUUAUAAGGGCCUGAUUAGUGUAUUAUUAUCAACUUUAGUUUGAGCAUAUUGACCAAUGAUUUGGGUCAAACGAAGUUGAUAGACUAGUUAGUCCAUCAGGCCCGGGUCAUGACAUUUAGUAUCAGAGCUAACUUAGUAUUUAAGCAUGGUGAGAGGGCUCGCACUAUGUUUGAUUUGAUCUAAAUGAUGUUGGGCCUUGACAAGGACAUCAAGCCCUUGAGUGGGUAAAAUUGUAAUAUCCCGAUUAGUCCCACAUCAGAAGUGGAGAAGACUAAGAUUGGUUUAUAAGAUUUGGGUUAAAUGAAAUUAAUGGUACCGCCUAGUGUCAAUGCUGCAGCUAGUGGUACUGCUAGUACCCGGAAGACCCGAGAUGUGACUAGUUUUAGCUCCAAGUUUGAAUCCAUUUGGAGCCUAUAAAUACCCCUCUUAUCCCUGGUUAACAUACAAAAGCACAAAGAACUUAAAAGUGAGAAAACUUCUAAACAAGGACAAACUUCUAAACAAGGUGUUUGAUAUAAUGCUUAUGUAUGUCCGUUGUCUUUUGGCAUGUUCAUGCCUUGUACAGAAUGUAAAGGGGCGGCCGAAGGCUUAAUAGUCCCAUUUUAGUUGGGUUGGUGGCCUCUUUAGACUUGUAAAUAAAGGUUGUGUCGUGUGGACACGUUCGAGAGCUUUUCGGUCUGUAAUGGACCAUUUUACCCUUUGUUGUGCAACUAUUCAGAGCUUGUAAAGUCUGUUUGUAAUUUGCAUUGUCUAUGAAGUGUUUUUCGGACAUGUUUGCUUGUGGAUCCCGAUUGAGGCGUUCUCUUUAACCCGUUCUCUCUUUUGUUGGUCCUAAGGGACAAUGGGAGGCUUCGGGGAGGCUGACCUUUGCGAACGGACGCGCGAGGGUGCCGCACGCCUUAGGCAAAACCAGCUAAGGUCGUGACAUUGUGGUAUCAGAGCGGGACAAGUACUCAUAGAAACACUUGACAUGCAAACGUGGGGGACCUAGCGGGGCUGCGUUGAGGGCAGUCAGCACACGCGCGACCGUUUGAGGGAAAACGGGCAUGGAGAUGUAGGGAAAAGAGUCGCUCAGAGGAGCGGGCAUCUGAGAUUGGCAUUCAGAGGAAUGGCCAACCCUUCGCGCAAGAGGCACCACGAGAACAGGCAAGCUUGGAAGAAUUUGGAGCGCACAAAGGUUGGGAUGGCUGAGUUUGAGCUACGGCUCAACGUUGACAACUUUACUUGAUGGUGCUCAAGGCAAGCGAGGCGCUUGGCAAAGGACGAGACCAUGCAAAGUGGAAUGAGUUGCUCAGCGACCGAAAGAGUUGUGCAAAGCUCACAGAGGUGAGGGGAAUUGCUAACUCGAAGAAUUCGGUACUCAUGCAUGGGCUUGUAUGCGGACGAUGGAUUGUUCGUGGCCAUCCCAAGGCGGUCGAGACUCGGCGCCAUGGAGCAUUGAAACUUUCUCUUCGACAUGCGAAGGAUACGUCCGGAGGAGGCUGAAGUGUGCAACGAGUUCAGCAUGUUGCUAGGCCUUGAGGGGUGCAGCGGUGGCUGUAUUGACGUGGAGGCGCAAUCUAGUAAGUGCGUUUGCAAGAGGCAGAACAAUGCACAGUUUGUUCAGCAGAUCGGAGUAGUCCAAGGGGAUGGUGGUCUCCGAAACGAAGAGAGAUGUUGCUCCAACGGGACAGUUAUCCAGGAGGGAUAAGUCUCAGCUCUCCAGAGGGAGAAUCAUGUGAGACGGACUUCACAUGUUGAGGAGGAGUACCUCACAAACAACAACUCCACGAAGCUCGAUGGACUGAGCAAGCGGCGAGGAGUCGUCGCAUGAUCUCGCUUGAGAGAAUGCAUUGGUGGAUGCAUUGCGAGAUCAAGUGGGGGAGCGACCCAAAGCAACUCAAAUGGAGGCACACUUGGAGUCGAUAUGGAGAUCGGACUCAAGGGAGGGCUGACCCGUGGAAUGGUGGGCGCGAGGGCCACCAUCGACUCAAUGCAGAAACGAGGAGCGGAGCAACUUGGGUGUAACUUGGCGAAGUACCCAAGCCGCAUGAAGGGAGCCAGCAUAGAAGUUGGAACAUGGAGCAGAGGCACAGCGCUUUCCCUAGACAGAGGUCAAGGACAUGAACUCUUGCAGAGGCAGGAGUAGAAUCAUGCUGUUCCCUGGGUCCUUCAUUCUGACAGAGCGGACUCAUCUUGCAUGGUGCCAAAGACGAAGGGAGCUUCGGGGCACAUGCACCUUAUCUCGGAGGAGCAUUCGAUGGAGGAACUAAGGCGACUCAAUUUGCGGAGGCGAAGUUGGGUACAGAAGGUCUUAGCACGGGGCAAGAGGACGCAGAGGCGGGUACUCUUGAAGAAUAUGCCACAGUGUUGCCAUUCGAGUUGCUAUGAAGGAAGCGGUGCGCAGUGGAGAUUGUGCUGGUAGGGGCAGAGGCCCAGGAUCCAGACAAUGGUGCACAAAUUACAUUGAAGUCGGUGGACUUCGGGAGCUACUAGGCGACGGACUGUCCUAGAGCGGUGCUUCAUCUAGGUGUGACCCAAGAGUGGGUGGAUGAAGGUCGAUUGCCAAAGGAGCGAACAAAAUCGAAGGUGGAGGAGACCCUGCGAUGUAUUGGCAGAGGCCACACAUGGAGGGUUCACAAUUCGAGUUUAUUCCACAAGGAUCAGAAUGCAAUGGAGAUGUCACCAGGAGGCGACAUGGUGCAGCGGAUCGUGGUGGAACAGUUCGUGGCAAUGCGACACACACGACAUAGUCCCGUGAGGGAUGAGAUCAUAUGGAGGUAUGAUCGGGAGCUACUGGGAGCUUCGCUUUGGUGAACAACACGACGGCAAGAAGGGCUAUGGAUUCAAGGAGUGAAGGCCAUGGUACCGCAGAGGCGGGUCUUCCGGGCGUGCACCGAAUUUUGCAUCGGAUGAAAACCUUGGUCAUCAGCAUAUGGGGGCUGGGUUCCACCAAGGGAAAAGUUCGAAUGCAAGUACCAGUGAGUCCCAUGAGAGGGACUUGAUCAUGCAGAGGUAUGAUCGAAGCAGCUGGAGAGUUGGACUGCUCCAGAGCUCAUAUUCGCUUAAGGGAGCCCGACAAGUCAGAGGACAAGGUCGAGUAAGCGAACGUUGCUACCAAGGAAGCUAAGGAGAACAGAAUCGGUGCAAACCCUACAAUGUGAUGGCAGAGGCCAUGCAUGGGAGUUGCAGUCUGUCUUUCCAUCGACCAAACAGACUGCUUGGAGAAUACAGAGGUGUUGAAGCAGGAGGUCGAAAGGGGCGAGGAAGCGACGACGAGUCCAGAGGGACUUAGCUACCCAAAAUCAAGCAUCAGUUAGAAUGGAGGUGGACUCAGAGGAGUGCCACGGAGACAUCUCUACUGAUUGUGAAGGAAAGGGAUACAGAGGCGAGGCGACGGAUAGUAGGGCCAUGGGCAUGGCAGCGCCAUGGUACCGCAGAGGCGGGACUUCCGUGCAAGUCAUUGAUCCCUUGCUCUCACGGAGGGAGAGCGCUUGGUCGUGAAAGGGGCCGAGGAGGUGGAGCAUGCAGAGGCAAUCUCCAAGUACCGAGACAAGGCUGAAGGGCAGAGGCCAAGAAACUUCGUAAGACCGGUGUCAACAAGUUUCUCAUCAAGAUAGCCGUAAGUGAAGGACUUCGGGUCAUGCAAGAGUGCACGACCAAGGAACGAAGCAGGCAGUACGCGGUGCUGUACCUUUGCUACUCAGUGGAGUAGGCGGCAGGGUUGAUGGAGAAGACGGUACAAUCCCAGAGGCGACCUCAUCUAUCAGAGAAUUACUCCAAGUUGGGGUGAAAACUUCCUGCAUUCCAGAAGUUCAAUGGCAUUGAGAAGGUGAAUCACAGUAGCUAACUCAACGCAAGGAGUGCAAACACUUCAAGUGCUUCAGAAGUGUGAGCAAAGAGCAGGCGAAGGCCAGUAACCAGCUCGAUGCAUGAAGUACAACCUCGAGGAGGCGGGCGAAGUCAAGUAACCUUUGCCUUCUCAACUCUUAAGAGAAUGGGCGAAACCGAGUACCCCAAUUCUCUUAUCUAUCCAGCAGAGGAGCUCUGCACAAGUUCAAAGACCCUUCGAAGAGAAUGGAAGAUAAUAGUUGUCAAAUCCUCACCAACGGUGAUCAGUGCUACUGAGAGUAGAUUGUCCGCCUCAUUUCCCAACGAAAUGCCAAUCGAAAGCGGAAGUGAUGCGAACCUACUUGGAUGUGACAACUAAGUGAAAGAAGAGUCAAUGAGCAGAUUUUGUGGAGGAAGGACCCAAAACUUCAGAAGUUUGCGAGGCGAUGCUCGUUAAAGCUCCAACAAGCAUCCACCCAGUUCAAGCAGCAUGUGGAAAUUUUGAGAGACUGGCGCACUAAGGAUGGUCUUUUCCUUCAUUUGGUGGAUCCGCAGGAAUCAACGAGGAUCAAUACAACUCAGCCAACCCCACACCAGAGUCAGAGUCAUUGGCGAGUUGAAGCAGCAUGGCGGAUCAAAGGUUCGACUACUCAGAAACAGCAGCGGAGAGCAGCUGGGAGCCAGGAGGCGCAUUGCAGCUGGAGCGGAAGAUUGAAGACUCAGCAAAGGCGAAGAGUUGUAGUGUUCACAAAGGCUUCGACGAGGACGUCGAAGGGAUAAGUGGGGGAGAAUGUAACGGACAAACUUCUAAACAAGAUGUUGGAUGUAAUGCUUAUGUCUGUCCGUUGUCUUUUGGCAUGUUCAUGCCUUGUACAGAAUGUAAAGGGGCGGCCGAAGGCUUAAUAGUCCCAUUUUAGUUGGGUUGGUGGCCUCUUUAGGUUUGUAAAUAAAGGUUGUGUCGUGUGGACACGUUCGAGAGCUUUUCGGUCUGUAAUGGACCAUUUUACCCUUUGUUGUGCAACUAUUCAGAGCUUGUAAAGUCUGUUUGUAAUUUGCAUUGUCUAUGAAGUGUUUUUCGGACAUGUUUGCUUGUGGAUCCCGAUUGAGGCGUUCUCUUUAACCCGUUCUCUCUUUUGUUGGUCCUAAGGGACAAUGGGAGGCUUCGAGGAGACUGACCUUUGCGGACGGACGCGCGAGGGUGCCGCACGCCUUAGGCAAAACCAGCUAAGGUCGUGACAGCCUGGUACAAGCGGUACAUACCGGUCCGAUGAUAUAUCGGUACGCGGACCGCUCGCUACUAGAUGGAAGGUGCUACAGUGCUACACUGUAGCAUUGCUAUAGUGCUACAGUAAGGGGAAGAAAUAUUUAAAACCGCUCGGUAACAGUGAUACAGUGCUCCAACGGUCAAAUUGACCGUUGGAACCCUUUCUCAUGGUAUUUAAACCCUUCUUCUCUCCUAUUUCACUUCAUUACAUUCUCAUACUCUAUUAAACUAUCUCAAAUUCUUUUUUUCUCAUAUUUGUGCACUCCUAAACUCUACAAAACAAUGAUUUGUGAAUUGAAUCGAGGCUAUUUUGGGAAGAUUAAGAGGAAGAACUUUCUAAUUAAGAUGUAUGUUUACAUAAGGACAAUUCGUAAUGGACUGAAAUACGAACAUUGUACAAGAUAUUCUUCAAAGCUCGAAAAAGUUAUGUGAUACUAUUCUUAUCUAAUUUACAUUGAUUUUGCUAAACUUAUUCUAUUAUUAUAUUUAUUUCUAACUUAAAAACCCUAUCCUAACUUUUUUUUUUUAGUUUCAGGUAUUUUCGGAGGGUUAUACACCUAAAUUAGGUGUAUCGCUUGGUACGCUCUGGCGUACCGCUUGGUACGCUCUGGCAUACCGCUCGGUACAUGGUACCGUACCAUACCGAGUCAAUCUCGAAACACUAGUACGAUACGGUAUUGCAUACCUUGCCAAUAAGUACAUAACCUUACACCAAUAAACACAGCCCUUAGGUAACCUCGUUGUGAUGCCAAGUUCUGAGUGGAUUCUUGCUCUCCUAUUAGUUGAUCUCUUGUUGUUUUCUUUCAUUUUUUUUUUUCUGUCCUUUUGCUAGAAAAAGGUACAAAGAUGUUAGUCCUUCAUUCAUUGACCCAACAACAACAAUUUGAGUUCUUAUCACUACGUUUUGAGAACACACCUCAAGGAUUCAGGAUCUACAGUUUAAAAUGGUCAAAAAGACUUAGGGUGAUUUUAGUGGGAUAUCAGAGCUAUUUAGUCAAAUUCAUCUUGAAUUUGGUUUAUGGCUUGUUGUUUUGUUGAUUAGAAGAGUUAGCAUGUACAGCUUCUUUUGGACCAGUAUUUAAUCUUAACCUAAUAUGCAGUCAAAUAUAUAAUUAAGGAUGAUUAAACAGAUGUUCAAACAUUUUUCUGGUGGUGGCUGAUUGGGGAAGAUGAUGAUCUUUACAAACUUGACAUAACAUAAGUUUAUGGAACUUCAAAGCCACUGAAGAACACAUGAUUUGGUGUAAUUGAUCAAAAGGUCUGAGAGUGAAUGGAGAUGUUGAACUCCCAACACACAAUGCUUGUGCUAUAGAGUGAAGUUAAUUUUAAACGUGCAAAUUAUAAUAGCCUUUGGGUCAUCUUAAUUGUUGCCAGGACUUGAACAGCAAUAGGCAAACAUCUCAAAUAUCAUGUUCAACAUUUUUUCUGCAAUUGAAUGUCAUGAUAAUUUUUAAAUUUAUCUGCGAAAGAACAUCUAUGAGGCUAAAUUUAAGAAUUUAUCAUCUUUAUAUCAAAGAUAGUAUGGUUGACAACUUUCAAGCUAUAUUGUCUCGAUCAAUUUUGAGAAGUUGGGACACAAGGUUUAGACAUGCAUUAUUUGAAAAAACUAGGUUUUGAACUUUGUUGAAAAAUACUGCAUAUAUAAGAAGUAUGAUGGAUAUAAUGUGCUUCUUAUAUUGUUUGUAGUCAUAGGAAAGUUGUUUUCCGUUUAACUUGGGUUGAAUAAUUUCUCUAUGAAAGUUUCAGAUACAAGUUUAUCAAUCUGGCUUCUCUGUUUUUCCAUGAUGUGUUUUUCAUGAUUAGAGCCACAUUUAGUGAGCACCAUCAUCAUUACUAUGGUAUCCAAGCCUUGUCCCUAAAAAAGGGGUAAAAAGUAAUAAUAUAAGUUGGGAAGGCUAAUCACGUGGCACAAUAGAUGAUAUCCCAUCUACAUAAAAGAAUGACCAAGUAAAACAAAGACGCGAGCAAGGUUCGCCUUACCAUACCGUACCGGCGUUUUGACCUGGGCUCAGUACGGUAUGGUACGAUAUACCGAGCGAUACACCUGAUUUCACAGAUUUAACCCUCCGAAAAUACCUGAAAAUUAAAAAAAAAGUUAGGAUAGGGUUUUCAAGUUACAAAUAAAUAUAGUAAUAGUAUAAGUUUAGCAAAAUCAAUGUAAAUUAGGUAAGAAUAGUAUCGCAUAUCUUUUUCGGGCUUUGAGGUAGUCUUGUUCGAGGUUCGUAUUUCAGCCCGUUAUAGAUUGAAAUAUCUACAGAAAAAUCAGUUGAAUUGUUAGACUAUUUUGUUACAAUAUAAACUCUAAAAUUCAAAUGAAUUAAAUAAUCACAUAUGUAGAUAUACCUUAUUGUUGAUUCUAUCACCAAAACGAACGACGGGUCUCCACGGAUGGUGGAUCGGGGUCCUCGAUCCGAUACAUCUGCAUAUCAAUAUGAUACGUUUGUUGGACCCAAUCAUGAAAUUGAUCCCAUAACAUAGUGUAUUGAUACACCGUAUGUCAUUGAUGCAUCAAUGUGGUGCUGAUCGUAGACUGAUCGUCAUGAAUCAUAUUUGUUCGAGGCAGCUCUUGAGGCAUAUAUUGGUGAAUGUCAAAACUUCUACUUUCGCUACUGAUCUGCUGUUCUGUAUCAUAUUGUUGCUCAGAGAAGGAUGACCAACUAUCACCAUACUGUUGUUGCCCGUAUGAUUUUCCAUAAUACGAUGGUUGUGAAUACGAUGAGCCUCUUUCUAUGUCUAUAUCAUGUAUGCUAUGUCGCAUUUGUUCAUAUUCAUCCACUGCCUUCCCCUUCCCCUUCCCCUUCCGCGUAUAAACUUGACCAGUACCUUGUCGAGUUCCAUGAUCUGAAUCUUGAGUGGCAUGUGUAAAAUAUUGCUCCUCAGUCUAUUCACCACCCUGAAGUUGUGUAGACGAGACCAACGACUGCCCGACAUCACCGCCAUCAUCUGUCGAGGCACUACUGUCCGUGUUGCUGUCAUGUCUCUAGACUGAGCGAGAAAGAGAAUGUGAUUGUGAAGGUGUCUCGUCGCCCGACUCGAUUUUUUCCAACGAUGCAACUGAUGCUACUGCCUUCCCCUUUGCCUUUGCACAUUGGGCGGACGAGUGUGACCGUUGGGUGUCGGUAGUUCACCAUGGAGUCUACCUCAUGCUACUAGUUUGGCCUAACUGAGAAGGAGCAGUUGGUUGCCUCAUGCUGGUUGACCUCUGGUUUCCACUACCACUGCCAUGCUCCAAUUGUGAGUCAGGUCGUCAAUGCCUCAUUGCUUCAUCGACCGUAUACUGAUGUUCCAAUGAUGCACGAAUCCCAGCUGUGAGAUCCGGGUCGACUUGAUCGUCGCAACCCUCAUAUUGAUCAUAAACUGGUUUCUGUGUAGCCCUAUAAUAUUCUUUCUCAACUCUUGCCUUUUUUUUUAAUGUAUCUUCCUUUGCUUGUUUAAGCAUGCUUUGAAAUAAUUUACGGAUCUUCGUUAGAACAUUCUUGCAUUUUGCAAUAUCAGGAUACCCACCAGUCAAAUGCAUUUUCACCCGAGUUAUUCCUUCACCCUUGUCAAUAUAGUCACAAUAAAUACAUUGACAAUGACGACGGUUUCUAUCUAGCUUUUGGGCAUGAACCCAUGCAUCAUCAUGUGGAUAUUCCUUUAGUGCCGUGAUCCUACCAAAUUUAAAUCAAAUAAACUAUAAAGUAUAAACAUAUUAAAUUGACCAAAUAUCAAUCAUAAAUCAUUAAUCACAACAUUAAAUAAUUUUAUUAAAACAUAACUAGUCAUAUUUUAUCAUCAUAAAUAUGUUACAUGCAUAAAAGAAGUAUUAAAAUCAUUAGAUACACUAAUUACACGAUUAACAUAGUUAAUUUUUUACUAAUUACUUCUUUUUCAACACUAUAAACAUGACAAACACCCUAAUAGGUAUUAAAGAUAUUGGAUUGACAAAAAUCGAACAAAUUUCGAUUAAAUCAUCAUUAAAAUGACUAAUCGUAAUAUUAAAUAACUUUAAUAAAACAUAAUUAAACUUAUUUUACCAUCAUAUAUAUGUUAAACACAUAAAAGAAACAUUAAAUAUGUAAUUUUAAUCCAAUAUGAUUCAAAUUAUGAUAAAAUCAUCAUUUAUCUACACUAAUUAUACGAUUAAUAUAGUUAAUUUUUCACUAAUUACUUCUUUUUCAACACUAUAAACAUGAUAAACACCCUAAUAGGUAUUAAAGAUAUUGGAUUGACAUAAAAUUGAACAAAUUUCGAUUAAAUCAUCAUUAAAAUGACUAAUCGUAAUAUUAAAUAACUUUAAUAAAACAUAAUUAAACUUAUUUUACCAUCAUAUAUAUGUUAAACACAUAAAAGAAACAUUAAAUAUGUAAUUUUAAUCCAAUAUGAUUCAAAUUAUGAUAAAAUCAUCAUUUAUCUACACUAAUUAUACGAUUAAUAUAGUUAAUUUUUCACUAAUUACUUCUCUUUCACAAAUAUAAACAUUACAAAUACCCUAAUAGGUAUUAAAGACAUUGAAUUGAUAUAAAAUCGAAUAAAUUUCGAUUAAAUCAUCAUUAAAAUGACUAAUUAUAGCAUUAAAUAACUUUAAUAAAACUUAAUUAAACUUAUUAUACUAUCAUAAAUAUUAUUCAAUAUUUAAUAUGCAUGAAACACACUAAUCAUAAUCUUAAAGAUCUUAAUUACUUUCUAAUUAAAGAAAACGAAUACAUACCUCUUGAUUAGAAAGUUCUUCAUCUUAAUCUUCCCAAAUUAGCCUCGAUUGAAUUCACAAAUCGUUGUUUUAUAGAGUUUAAGAGAGAAAAAAAAAGUGAGAGAGAGUUUAAGAGAUUAUAAUGAAAUAGGGGAGAGUAUAACGAAUACAUAACUGCUACAGUGCGGUAACGGUCGAUUUCGAUCGUUACCGAGUGGUACCGGGCGGUAACGAUCGAAAUUUCGAUCGUUACCGCCCGAUAGUACCCCGUAUCGAAUGAUACCGCCCGAUAGAAUUUCGACCGUUACCGCCCGAUAUUACCCCGUAUCGAAUGAUACCGCCCGAUAGCGGUCGGUCCACGUAUCGGUAGCCUGUCGGACCGGUACGUACCGCCCGUACCGAGUGGUACGAUUCGGUAUGGCAGACCUUGGACACGAGUGAAGUAUGCCUUCCAAGUUAAAUGGCUAGUUUCCACUUGGAAAUGUCUACCUUGUCAUAGUUUAAGCUUGAACUUUUAAAUUCUCCAUGAGAAAAAUUCUAGAUGAUAGUCGGGAGAUAUCGACAUGCAUCUUGUGGCAUCUUAAAGAAUCAUGAAACACCAAAUUACAUUAUUCGUGCUGGCGUUGGUUAUCUUCAGAAAAGAACAUUUUCAUGUAUAGUUUGGAUCUUCUUAGCAAUUACUUUUACAUUUCAUAAACAGUAGCAUGGAUACAAAUCUACCUUAGAACUUCUAAGUUUAAUUUUGGCUAUUUCUGCUUUUUGAUAAAUAAUUGCUUGAUUCUUUCAUUUUCCUUUUGAACUGGAAUUACUCAACUAAACUUGUGUCUGAUAUUCCCUCUUUUAAAACAGAUAUCUUACUUUAGCUAUGGCUUUUUUAUUUCUUGGUUAGUAUUUAGCCUCCAAUGGCAAUUCUUUUAUCUGCUAGGAAUACAUUUAAAGGCGGCUUUCCUGCUGGGAGGCUUGAUGUGUGAAAAUGAUGAAAAAGCAAAAUGGCAAACAUUGAUAACAUUCCAAACAAGUAUGACUUGUUAGCUAUAUUUGAUGAUUGGUAAAUUUAAAGAUCGGUUGACUGAAAAGCCAUAAUGAUAAUAAGAAUAAUAAUAAGUCGUAGAACUUCUGGUGAGGAGCUUGAACAAUAGAGUUUUGCCAUAGUUGGAUGGAUAUGUAUUAUUGAUCUCAGAGCAUCUUUUAGAAAAAUAAAAAAAGGAGACUUUUUCAUUUUAUAUGUUGACUUGUAUGAACUUGCCAUCGGGUUCAUCAAAUGCUUUCACGUCAGGUUGACAAUCAGCAAGGAGACGUUUUCAUCUGCGUCGAAGAUAUAUUUUGCUUUGGAUGUUCAAGGAAUAUGGAACCUGCUGGUCUCCCAUAAAGGUGUUUGAUUGCAACAAAAUAUAGAUAAUGGAUGAACCAUGACAUGGGUUCGUUUGUUUCCUCAUUCUUUGUUUUUAUAUGUUGCCAGUAGUCUCAGAAGGAUGCAAUGGUAUUUUCUUUAAUCAUCAACGCAGAGAGAACCAUGUCAAUCAUGAUACGUUGUCAUAUGAUGCUUAAUUUUUGCUUAAACAACCUGGCUCUUCUAUCUGCUUCACACACAUUAAAUAUGUUGUUGCAGUUCAGAUUCAUGGGUCAGAUAUUAUCUAAAAGAUGACACUUGUGGGGUUCAAUAUCUGUCUCUACUUUAUCCGAAAGAUGCCUACUUUGUGAAUUUGGGAUAUGCUAAUCAAAGGAAGCACGAAACAACAAAAUCAAAAGCAGGCACUAUGCCCACUAUUAUGAAGUUUCUGAAGCUCUCGGUGCCGUUUAACUGUUUUGGUGUUCAAGUAAACUUGUUGAUGUCUGAGAAGAUGUGUGUGUGUAUGUAAUUGUAUAGUCAUUCAUAGUGGGGUGCAGCUGAAUUCUUGUUAGGAAACGCUAAACUCAUUGUUCAUCUCUGAUAACCUAAAUGAAAAGCUUCAUGAGUUGAAUUA